UGAGGCAGGAGAAUUGCUUGAACCCAGGAGGUGGAGGUUGCAGUGAGCCGAGAUCAUGCCACUGCACUCCAGCCUGGGUGACAGAGUGAGACUCAGUCUC
rnacentral:miRNA from 1 species